AUGGCAAAGCUAGUUUGCCAUUCACAUCUUCUUCUGCUCAUCAUAGUUUUCCUCUCUCUCCAUCCUUCAAGCCAACUACAACAAUACACUCAGUCACAAACCCUUCUGAAGAUCCAGCAGCUUCUCAACUACCCAUCAGCCUUAACCAGCUUCAGCCAUAGAAGCAACAUCAGAGACUUCUGCAAAAUUGAACCAACUCCAUCUUUGACUCUAUCCUGUUAUGAAGGCAACAUAACCCAGCUGCACAUUAUUGGCAACAAUGGGUUUCCUCCACUGCCUCGUGAUUUCUCAGCAGACUAUUUCUUUGCCACUCUUGUUGGCUUACCAAGCUUGAAAGUGCUUUCACUGGUUUCUCUUGGUUUAUGGGGGCCAAUGCCUGCAAGUAUUGGGCAUUUGUCUUCACUGGAGAUUCUCAAUGUAAGCACAAAUUACUUAAGUGGUACAGUUCCUCUCCAACUUUCAUAUCUGAGGAACCUUCAGACUCUCAUACUUGACCAUAACAAGUUCACUGGUCAAGUUCCAGGUUGGCUGAGUUCACUUCCAGUCUUGGCUGUUCUCAGUCUGAAAAACAAUAUGCUUAAUGGCUCUUUGCCAUAUUCUUUGGCAUCUUUACAAACUCUCAGAGUUCUCUGCCUAUCAAGUAACUUCUUGUCAGGGGAAGUGCCUGAUCUCAGAAACUUGACAAACUUGCAAGUUCUUGAUUUGGAAGACAACUAUUUUGGGCCUCAUUUUCCAAGUAUGCUUUCCAAGUUGGUCACACUUGUGCUAAGAAAGAACAAGUUUCGCUUGGGAAUCCAGACUGCAUUAGGCUCCUGCUAUCAGCUCCAGAAGCUGGACAUUUCAUUGAAUGGAUUUGUAGGGCCAUUUUUGUCAUCAUGGUUGUCACUGCCUUCCAUUAAAUAUCUUGACAUUGCUGGAAAUAAACUCACUGGACUUCUCUAUAAGAACAUGACUUGCAAUUCUGAGCUUGCUUUUGUCAAUUUAUCCUCAAAUCUUUUGUCAGGGGAUUUGCCCACUUGUCUGAAAAGGGAUUCUAACAGCAGGGUUGUUCUGUAUUCUGGGAAUUGUUUAGUAAAUGAAGAUCAGAAGCAGCACCCUUCUUACUUGUGCCACAAUGAAGCUCUGGCUGUGCGAAUACCACCUCCUAGUGAGGAAAAGCAUAGGAGAACUUAUGGUAAACACGUUGUUGCAUCAAGUGCAGUGGGAGGUAUUGUGGGUGCAAUUGCAGUUGUUGGUUUAGCUUUCAUGGCUGCUAAGAAGUUUUAUAGUGAGCACACUACUAAAACUCCCCAAACAAGGUAAUUUCAGAUACAGUCUCAGCAGUGAACACAGCUAAGCUACUCUCUGAUGCAAAAUAUAUAUCAGACACAAUGAAGCUGGGAGCUAGCCUUCCUGCUUAUAGAACUUUUGCUUUGGAGGAGCUUCAGGAAGCCACCCAUAACUUUGAUGAUUCAACAUUACUAGGUGAAGGUUCACAUGGACAGAUAGCUGCAUUUGGCACUAUGAACUGA